CGCCGCCGCCGCCGCCUCAGCCUUCGCCUCAGCCACCGCCGCCGCCCGCUCCCGCCCGCGCGCGGCGGGAUGGACGAUCAAUCCAGGAUGCUGCAGACUCUGGCCGGGGUGAACCUGGCCGGCCAAUCGUGCAGGGGGGCAUGGCCCUGCCGCCUCCCCCGCACGGCCACGAAGGGGCGGCAGGAAGCAGGACAUAGGCGACAUCCUCCACCAGAUCAUGACCAGAGCUUGGACGAGGCGCAAGCAAAGAAACAUGCCCUGAACUGUCAUAGAAUGAAACCCGCUCUCUUCAGCGUCCUGUGUGAGAUCAAAGAGAAAACAGGUGCAGUUGUACAUGCCUAUAAUCCCAGCUACUCCGGAGCCUGAGGCAGAAGGAUCACAAGUUCAAGGUCAGACCUGACAAUUCAGACUCUUCUUAAAAUAAAAUUAAAAGAAAGGGCUGGGAAUUUAGUUCAGUGGUAGAAUGUUGUCUAGCGUGAAUGAGGUCCUGGGUUCAAUCCCCGGUGGGUUCUGCCUCCCCACCUCCAAAAAAAGGAGCAUAUUUUUAAUGUGUUAUUUGUAUCACUAGUCUUAUGGUUAUAUGCUUAGAAAUGGGCAAUUGAAGACUGUUUCAUCUUUAAAACUUGAGGUUGGGAAUAUAGCUCAGUGGAAGUGCACUUGCCUAGCACAAAGAGGAUCCUGGGUUCAUUUCCCAGCACCAACAAAACAAAACAAAGCAAAUAUGAUUUGUCAAGAGCUAUGUAAUGUUUUGAACAACUGAUAAAAAAAUAAUUAAAACAAAACAAAACAAAACAAAAAAAACAAAGCAAAACUUGGCUCUUGUGCUGCCAUUGCCUGUUAUCCCUACUUGUUUUUUUGAGGGUAGUAGUGGCGGUACUGGGGAUUGAACCCAGGGUGCUCUAUCACCGAGAUGUAUUCCCAUCCUGACUUCAUUUUUAAGCCUCCUAGUAAUACGUGGGGUGUGCAGAGUCAUAUAUCUAGAGUUGAUUAUUGAGGUAACAGUCGUGAGAGAGGAGUUAUGUUUUAAGAUGAAGGAAGGAGUAUUACAUUAUGAUCCAGUGAGGAGAAUAAGGGGAGAUUUUACUUUGAAGGACUUAUUAUUGUAAUUAGUAAAUAUUGAUUUCUAAGUCAUUGAAGUCAGUAUUAGAUAAAAUUGACCCAAGUUAACACUACUAGUGGUAUGCUAUAAAAAUUCAUUUAAAACAGAGGGACUCUUUCAUUUUUUUGUUUCCAUUCUCUAGGGGACUGUAUGCUGUUAGAGGUCAGAUACUAUCUGCCUAUCUUAUCUGUAUCUAUCUAGAUAUUCUUAUGACCCAAUGUGCUCAAUAGCUUAUUUUUAAGAUAAAAACAUAAAUGCCUUCAUGUAUUAUCUGGUAUCUGCUGUAAAUCUGAUAUUACAUUGUAAUAAUCCUUUAUAUAAAAAUUCAUCUUAAUUAUAGCAACUAUAGUACAUAUAAGAAAACUUCCACAGCUGCUUACCUGGAUCUUGAGUAAUUUAUAUGUACAUUAUUUGUGAAAAUAACUUAUGUAUUACUGCUCCCAUUACUACCAUUAAUGAUAUUUUUAAAAAGAGAAAAACUGUUGAAAACUCCUGAAAACAUACUUAGAAUUGAAUAGUAAACUUUAAAGUUUUCACGUAUGGUUCACAGCUAGGAAAUAUUUGUGUUUCUAAAUAGAAAUUUUGAAAUAAGUUAGUGUUUUUCUAUGGAUUUGGGAAGGACAUUUGUUUUAAUACAUUACAUUGAAAUCUUUUUUUUUUUAAUAUUUAUUUUUUAGUAUUUGGCGGACACAACAUCUUUGUCUGUAUGUGGUGCUGAGAAUCGAACCUGGGCCGCUCGCAUGCCAGGCGCGCGCGCCACCGCUUGAGCCACAUUCCCAGUCCCCGUUGAAAUCUUAAAGAGUAGAAUUUGACGAGACAUUUUGCUGAUGUAAAAUAUUUUGUUCAUUUUGACUCUCAAGUUUAUCUGUCAUAAUGAUUGAUUUGUAUUCAUUUUACACUGUAUAGUUUUGUAGCUGAGUUUUCUAUCUAUAAGGUAUAGAAAUCCCUGUUUAAGUUAAUAAUAAAUAAUUAUCUUCAAAGGUGACAGAUUGAUUACAUGUAUGACUAGUCUGAAGAUUAGCCUAGGAUUUAGUUAACUAAAAAAAUAUAUAUAUUAUAAAUAUAUAUAUAUAUAUAUAUAUAUAUAUAUAUAUGUAUAUAUACACAUAAUAUAUAACUUAAAUGAAUUUUAAUUUUAAACUUAGCAUGAUCAGGAGCACAAAAUAUAGUAGUGUAUCAUUUAAUUAAUUGCUAGAGUAUUUUGUUCUUUGAACUUGACUAUUAAUUCCCUAACUUACCUGUACUACAGUCCUUGUUGAACUGUUUACUUUCUUGAUUGAACUGGCCACUAUCAGUUGUUUAUCAGGUUGAAACACCUGGGAAAUCAUAUUUUAUAUUUGCUUGUUUUGUUGUGUCAUGGAUUUUCUCAGUUGUGCUACUAAAAACCAACCCAUGUGACUAGUAAAUUUGAUGAAGGCUAAUUGGUGAGUUAGGUAGUAGCUCUGUGGUUCAGGUAUAAGUCUAAAUCUCAUUUGGUACUAUUAAAUUAAUUACCAAAUAUUUUGCUUCGUGAGAAUCAUUAAGACAUGGAAAGCUCACAGAUAUUUGGCCUGUGAAUAUUUUAUUCCUAUUAGUCCUUACUCUUAAAGAGUCAUGCAGUCAGGAUUGGGGUUGUAGUUCAGUGGUAGCGUGCUUGCCUACUAUGUGUGAGGUGCUGGGUUCAAUCCUCAGCACCACAUAAAUAAACUACAACUAAAAAAAAAAGUCAUGCAAUUCAAACAGCUGUAAUUUGUAUGUAAUUGUUAAUGAAUCUGUUCAUAACUGCCAUUCAUAAAAAUCUGUACUUGCGGAACUCCAGAAACCUGUAGAACAAGGAUUUUUUGCUCUUUUUUUUUCAUUUUUUAAAAAAUUAUAGUUUUGUUGUGAAUGUGAUGCAAACAAAGGCCAACUGUCCAUUUCUAGAAAAGUGUAUGCACUCAAUAUUUGAAUACAAUUUCAAGGAGUUUAUAGACACUUUGCAAAUCAUUUAUGGUUCUCUCAUGGAGAUGCUGAACCACAGGUUAACAACAGUUUUGUAGAGGUAGACUUUUUGUUUUGUAGAGAUAGACUUUUUUUUUUUUAAGUGCUAUAUUUUGUACCAAUUUGUAAUUGCAGUCCAUUUUCUUCUUGGAAGCUUAAUAGAUUUACUUUCUAAGUAACAGUCUUUACACACUUAUAGCAUCAGUGACUUCUGAUCUGAGUGAAUGUUUGGUUGUACUUAGGGGAAAGAAUCAGGAAAAUGCUAGAACUAAAGGAAAGAAUGGGCUGGUAAUGAGCCCCAGGUGUCAGUAAGAUUGGAGAGAAUGGUGCUAGCCUAUAAUCCCAGUGGCUCAAGAGGCUGAGGCAGGAGGAUUUCAAAUUCAAAGCCAGCCUCAGCAAAAAUCGAGGUACUAAGCAACUCAUUGAGAUCCUGUCUCUAAAUAAAAUACAAAAUAGGGCUGGGGAUAUGGCUCAGAAGUGCCCCUGAGUUUAAUCCCUGAUACGAAGGGGGGGAAAAAAAGACUAGAGAAAAAGGCGGGGCGUCAGGGCAGAUUUAGAAGAGGAAGUGUGAAAUUUGGGACCUAAGUUACUGAAGGACUUACUUGGCAAUUAGCAUAUGUUGCCUUAUGAUGAUAAUGAAGAAAGGUAUGAUUGACUUAUAAUCUAGGUACCAUAGCUAUUUAUGAGGAUGGAAUUUAUCUUAUUGGCAACUCUUGUUCCCCUGUGCUAUGGGAUUCAAUUUUUGCUACUUGUUAGAAUUCCUUUAAAAUACAUUAAUUUCUUUCAUAUAUAAAGUAAUUAGAUAACUUCUUGGGUAAGAAUCUAUAUUUCAUGUGUUAAACUUUCCCAUAUGAAGACUUCUGAGGAAAUAAUCAUCUAUGGCAGUGAUUUUCAAACUCUUUGAUCUUAGGACUCCUUUACACUAUGAGUGGAAUUUUUGUUUAUGUGGGCUUAAUGUCUAUCAAUAUUUAUUUACUGCAUUUGAAAUUAAAAACAAAUUUUAAAAUAUUUAAGUUAAUUAUAAUCUUAAACCUAUUACAUGUUAGCAUAAAGAACAAUGUUACAAUUAGUUCUAUAUUAUCCUAAAUAGCAUUUUCCAAAACAAGAUGAAGCAAAAUAAAAUGGUGAGAAGAGUCAAAAAAAAAAAAAAAAAGAAAAGAAAUGGCCUGUAUUAAAACACAAACACUCUUCCAUUUGUACAGAUAUUUCUUCCAUAUGUACAUAUCUGGAACCUUAAAAGUGAGUUCUGAUACUAAAUUUUAAGUUGCUUCCAUUUCUGUGCUGUACCUAUCCUCCUGAGUUCUUGCAUUUUUAAGUCUCUUCUUCUUAAAAGCUAUGUGUUAGACGGCUUUGGAGAAUAAAGGAGACAAGGUCUCUGUCCUUAGUUGGCAUGACACGAUAUAAAGGACAGAACUGAGUGGUAGCACCGGGAGUAGGAAUUUGGAGUAAGAUAUGACUGGAAACUACCAUAAAAAUUAACGACUUCUCCAGAAAUCUUAUGUAUACUCUGAAGGCUGUAGUACUUCCUAUAAUUACAUGAAAUGAGAACUUGAUAUUCAUGCAUGAAAAUAAACAGUAAACUCAAGAGAUUUAGUCUAAGACAAACAUGUUACAUAUUCUUAUACCUUCAUUUAGGCUCCUACAAUGGUCAUCAGAAAUUUAGGAUUUAGGUAAAUAUAUGUUCCCUUCCAUGGUUUCCUUGGUUGGUUGACAGUUGAUAAUGUGGGAAGUGAGGAUUAAGAAACUCUCAUUUUCUAACAUGAAUGAGAAAUUACUUCUUUAGUACUUAUGGCCAUUUUUGUAUAUAAAAGCCUAUCCAAAAUAGACCAAUAGGUUGCCCAAGAUAAUCAGAGUCCAAUUUUAGUUUGAUGUCUGAUCUACAAUGAUAAAUAGUUCACCCAGAUAGUUUUAAUUUUUAAAUGCUGAGAAAAAUUCAGAGUAGAUUUUUCAGAGAAAAUACAUGGACUGGGUAAAUGUUUUAAAAUAUGACUUUAAUCAAAUCAGUGUCGGUACAUAGUGACCUGUACAGUAAUAUGUGACAGACAUUAAGAAAUUAAUAAAAUACUUUAGGGACUGCUUUAAAACUCAGGGGCUCCAUACUGAAUUGAUACUGGAAGUUUCUGACACCUGAAGUUUUCUUUGUUCAAUUCCUGAUUUCCUGUACUUUAGAAUGAUGUGGCUAAUCUACAGCAACUGAGAAUCUAAGAAUCCAUUACAGAGCCAUUGUAUUUCCUUUUCCUUAGGCUUUUUGGACAUGAUAUGUGAGUUGUUUUUGGCAAACUGCUGAUCUACUGCAGUUUCCAGGAUCAACAUCAGAAGAAUCCUGAAGGCAUAUAAAAAAGAUACAUUCAACUGCAAACUGGCUGUGAGACCUUUUCAAUGGUGUAGCAGAAACUGACACAGCAAUAGGAAAGACCAGCCUACUGCACCCUCCUGCUCCCAUCUCACAUGUACAUUGAAAGUGCUUUGUGAAUCUUGGGAUCUUUUUUUUUUUUAAUAUUUAUUUAGUUGUAGAAUGACACACAAUAUCUUUAUUUAUUUUUAUGUGGUGCUGAGGAUGGAACCCAGUGCCUCACACAUGCAAGGCAAGCACUUUAAUGAGCUACAGCCCCAGCCCAUAUCUUGGGAUCUUUCUAGGAUUUAAUUUAACUGAAUCUUGCUUGAUAGUAUGCUAUGUGACUAUCCUUACAACCAGUGUCAGGGAACACUGAAGAAACCUUGGAUAUUAUCUAUAUUGGGUAGUGCGGGAUGCCUGGGAACCCCACUUUGACUCACUGUUGAACAGUGACCAAGGCACUGAAACUUUUAAAUACCUUGAUGUGCUAGAAAUAAACUCAUUGUUUCAUCAUGAGCCUUCAAUGAUACAUCAUCUUGAGCAGUGUUUUAAGACAAACUCUUUGGUCUUGCCAAAAGAUGGACUCAACAUGUUUUCCUCUAGUCAUUAAGUAAAGUAAGUUGCUAUAUUCUUUGUUGAAUGAGUUGAAACAGUCAGUCCAACAGGUUAAGCUUAACAGCUUUGGAGCAAUGAAGGUGUGUGUUUGAAUCCUGGUUCCAGCACUUGAUAGUUACUUGAUCUAGGACAAGUAACUAUUGAUUGCCUCAUAAGGUUGUUUAUAUUAUUAAAUUAGAUCACGUCUACAAAGUGAUUAGCAUGUAAUGAAUGUUUAAUUGACAGCUUAAGGNCUAUUAGUCCUUACUCUUAAAGAGUCAUGCAGUCAGGAUUGGGGUUGUAGUUCAGUGGUAGCGUGCUUGCCUACUAUGUGUGAGGUGCUGGGUUCAAUCCUCAGCACCACAUAAAUAAACUACAACUAAAAAAAAAAAAGUCAUGCAAUUCAAACAGCUGUAAUUUUUAUGUAAUUGUUAAUGAAUCUGUUCAUAACUGCCAUUCAUAAAAAUCUGUACUUGCGGAACUCCAGAAACCUGUAGAACAAGGAUUUUUUGCUCUUUUUUUUCAUUUUUUAAAAAAUUAUAGUUUUGUUGUGAAUGUGAUGCAAACAAAGGCCAACUGUCCAUUUCUAGAAAAGUGUAUGCACUCAAUAUUUGAAUACAAUUUCAAGGAGUUUAUAGACACUUUGCAAAUCAUUUAUGGUUCUCUCAUGGAGAUGCUGAACCACAGGUUAACAACAGUUUUGUAGAGGUAGACUUUUUGUUUUGUAGAGAUAGACUUUUUUUUUUUAAGUGCUAUAUUUUGUACCAAUUUGUAAUUGCAAUCCAUUUUCUUCUUGGAAGCUUAAUAGAUUUACUUUCUAAGUAACAGUCUUUACACACUUAUAGCAUCAGUGACUUCUGAUCUGAGUGAAUGUUUGGUUGUACUUAGGGGAAAGAAUCAGGAAAAUGCUAGAACUAAAGGAAAGAAUGGGCUGGUAAUGAGCCCCAGGUGUCAGUAAGAUUGGAGAGAAUGGUGCUAGCCUAUAAUCCCAGUGGCUCAAGAGGCUGAGGCAGGAGGAUUUCAAAUUCAAAGCCAGCCUCAGCAAAAAUCGAGGUACUAAGCAACUCAUUGAGAUCCUGUCUCUAAAUAAAAUACAAAAUAGGGCUGGGGAUAUGGCUCAGAAGUGCCCCUGAGUUUAAUCCCUGAUACGAAGGGGGGGAAAAAAAGACUAGAGAAAAAGGCGGGGCGUCAGGGCAGAUUUAGAAGAGGAAGUGUGAAAUUUGGGACCUAAGUUACUGAAGGACUUACUUGGCAAUUAGCAUAUGUUGCCUUAUGAUGAUAAUGAAGAAAGGUAUGAUUGACUUAUAAUCUAGGUACCAUAGCUAUUUAUGAGGAUGGAAUUUAUCUUAUUGGCAACUCUUGUUCCCCUGUGCUAUGGGAUUCAAUUUUUGCUACUUGUUAGAAUUCCUUUAAAAUACAUUAAUUUCUUUCAUAUAUAAAGUAAUUAGAUAACUUCUUGGGUAAGAAUCUAUAUUUCAUGUGUUAAACUUUCCCAUAUGAAGACUUCUGAGGAAAUAAUCAUCUAUGGCAGUGAUUUUCAAACUCUUUGAUCUUAGGACUCCUUUACACUAUGAGUGGAAUUUUUGUUUAUGUGGGCUUAAUGUCUAUCAAUAUUUAUUUACUGCAUUUGAAAUUAAAAACAAAUUUUAAAAUAUUUAAGUUAAUUAUAAUCUUAAACCUAUUACAUGUUAGCAUAAAGAACAAUGUUACAAUUAGUUCUAUAUUAUCCUAAAUAGCAUUUUCCAAAACAAGAUGAAGCAAAAUAAAAUGGUGAGAAGAGUCAAAAAAAAAAAAAAAGAAAAGAAAUGGCCUGUAUUAAAACACAAACACUCUUCCAUUUGUACAGAUAUUUCUUCCAUAUGUACAUAUCUGGAACCUUAAAAGUGAGUUCUGAUACUAAAUUUUAAGUUGCUUCCAUUUCUGUGCUGUACCUAUCCUCCUGAGUUCUUGCAUUUUUAAGUCUCUUCUUCUUAAAAGCUAUGUGUUAGACGGCUUUGGAGAAUAAAGGAGACAAGGUCUCUGUCCUUAGUUGGCAUGACACGAUAUAAAGGACAGAACUGAGUGGUAGCACCGGGAGUAGGAAUUUGGAGUAAGAUAUGACUGGAAACUACCAUAAAAAUUAACGACUUCUCCAGAAAUCAUAUGUAUACUCUGAAGGCUGUAGUACUUCCUAUAAUUACAUGAAAUGAGAACUUGAUAUUCAUGCAUGAAAAUAAACAGUAAACUCAAGAGAUUUAGUCUAAGACAAACAUGUUACAUAUUCUUAUACCUUCAUUUAGGCUCCUACAAUGGUCAUCAGAAAUUUAGGAUUUAGGUAAAUAUAUGUUCCCUUCCAUGGUUUCCUUGGUUGGUUGACAGUUGAUAAUGUGGGAAGUGAGGAUUAAGAAACUCUCAUUUUCUAACAUGAAUGAGAAAUUACUUCUUUAGUACUUAUGGCCAUUUUUGUAUAUAAAAGCCUAUCCAAAAUAGACCAAUAGGUUGCCCAAGAUAAUCAGAGUCCAAUUUUAGUUUGAUGUCUGAUCUACAAUGAUAAAUAGUUCACCCAGAUAGUUUUAAUUUUUAAAUGCUGAGAAAAAUUCAGAGUAGAUUUUUCAGAGAAAAUACAUGGACUGGGUAAAUGUUUUAAAAUAUGACUUUAAUCAAAUCAGUGUCGGUACAUAGUGACCUGUACAGUAAUAUGUGACAGACAUUAAGAAAUUAAUAAAAUACUUUAGGGACUGCUUUAAAACUCAGGGGCUCCAUACUGAAUUGAUACUGGAAGUUUCUGACACCUGAAGUUUUCUUUGUUCAAUUCCUGAUUUCCUGUACUUUAGAAUGAUGUGGCUAAUCUACAGCAACUGAGAAUCUAAGAAUCCAUUACAGAGCCAUUGUAUUUCCUUUUCCUUAGGCUUUUUGGACAUGAUAUGUGAGUUGUUUUUGGCAAACUGCUGAUCUACUGCAGUUUCCAGGAUCAACAUCAGAAGAAUCCUGAAGGCAUAUAAAAAAGAUACAUUCAACUGCAAACUGGCUGUGAGACCUUUUCAAUGGUGUAGCAGAAACUGACACAGCAAUAGGAAAGACCAGCCUACUGCACCCUCCUGCUCCCAUCUCACAUGUACAUUGAAAGUGCUUUGUGAAUCUUGGGAUCUUUUUUUUUUUUUUUAAUAUUUAUUUAGUUGUAGAAUGACACACAAUAUCUUUAUUUAUUUUUAUGUGGUGCUGAGGAUGGAACCCAGUGCCUCACACAUGCAAGGCAAGCACUUUAAUGAGCUACAGCCCCAGCCCAUAUCUUGGGAUCUUUCUAGGAUUUAAUUUAACUGAAUCUUGCUUGAUAGUAUGCUAUGUGACUAUCCUUACAACCAGUGUCAGGGAACACUGAAGAAACCUUGGAUAUUAUCUAUAUUGGGUAGUGCGGGAUGCCUGGGAACCCCACUUUGACUCACUGUUGAACAGUGACCAAGGCACUGAAACUUUUAAAUACCUUGAUGUGCUAGAAAUAAACUCAUUGUUUCAUCAUGAGCCUUCAAUGAUACAUCAUCUUGAGCAGUGUUUUAAGACAAACUCUUUGGUCUUGCCAAAAGAUGGACUCAACAUGUUUUCCUCUAGUCAUUAAGUAAAGUAAGUUGCUAUAUUCUUUGUUGAAUGAGUUGAAACAGUCAGUCCAACAGGUUAAGCUUAACAGCUUUGGAGCAAUGAAGGUGUGUGUUUGAAUCCUGGUUCCAGCACUUGAUAGUUACUUGAUCUAGGACAAGUAACUAUUGAUUGCCUCAUAAGGUUGUUUAUAUUAUUAAAUUAGAUCACGUCUACAAAGUGAUUAGCAUGUAAUGAAUGUUUAAUUGACAGCUUAAGGCAACCAAAAAAUCUAAUUGAAUACAGAUUGGCAAUUAUCAGAAUAAGCAUCUUAUAAAAGAGGUUUUAAGUGUUAAGGGUUCAUUUACACCUUUGUAAAGAUCACUCUGAAAAUGAUCAAUUUUUGUUAAAUUAAUUUACACAAUAGAGUCUGGUAUUAAGCUUUUACAGGUGAAUACUUUCAAUGUCUGAAGUUAAGCAUGUAGAACAUAUGUUCUAGAAUACAUAAGAAUAUUCUUUGAUUAACUCUUCACAACAAAGAUUUUCUUUAUAUAGUUGUUUCUAACACAUGAUUUAAUAUUUUCUUGGACAUAUCUGUUCUUGUGUAGAGAUGAAGCUACUAGAUUAGGCAGUGUUUAUGGUGUUGGUAGUGGAUUCUCGGAAAUAUAAAUAGAUCAUCUCAUUAAGUCUUCUGAUCAAGGUUGUCUAUUUGUCAAAUAACUAUCUUAAUAGAAAGGGUUGCCAUAUAAGUAGUAUGAUACCUGGUACAGAGAUCCAGGAGUAAUUGUCUACCCUUGAGUUAAUUACUUCAGAACUUAAGCCAACUAAGCAAAAUGGCAAAUGCUGCAUAUGCAGACAAUCUACCAAUAUUUAGUGGCUUCUAAGCACUGAGAUACCAAAGAUAAUAUAAACCAAAUCCUUGCUUCUAGUGAAGGCUACAGAGAAUAUUCCAGAGUACUAUGGUACUACUAUAUUAUGUGUUAUAUAGACACUAGUCAUAGGAAAAUCUCAACUUUCUUCUGAUCACUACAUGCUUCUAAAGAAUACACCUAUGGGUGGCACAAUUAAAAUACUCAAGAUUACUCCAAAACAAGAUAGUGGCAAUUAUAAAGCAGAGCCACUAGUGUCACUCUUGGUUGUUAAAAAGAGUGUGUGAUAUUUAUAAAAACUUCUGAAGGUGGCCUUUCCACAUGGUUGGUUGGUUUGUUUGUACCGGGAAUAAACCCAGGGGCACUUGACCCCUGAGACACAUCCCCAGCCCUUUUGUUUUAACUAUUUAGAGAUAGGGUCUCCCUGAGUGGUUUAAGGACUUGCUAAGUUGCUGAGGCUGGCUUUAAACUCGAGAUCCUCCCUCUCAGCCUCCUAUACCACUGGGAUUACAGGCAUGUGCCACUGUGCUUGGCCACAUGGCUGCCUUUUAACCUGUGCUGCUGUUUAAGCAGCAUCCUGACCCUGCUCAUGAGCAAAGACUGCUCAUACUCCAGCAAACAGAACUUUCUCUGGCUCCAGCUUGAAUCUAUACCCUUAUGUGCUGCAAUUUGAGCUUUACCUUACCUUGCAAGACCACACGUUAUUCAACAGUAUUCCAUUUGAUAGAUGUCCCUGAAACAAUGUGCAAUCAGUCCUAGAAUGUAUAAAUUUCAUUCUUUGGGCAAACUGGUUGGCAUACCUGAGUGACUCCAGGCACACCAGUGUAUCUUGGUCUAUUUGAGGACUUCUUCCAUCACUGAAGUAGUUAGAGUAGGGGACUGGAUGGAAAUUGAUGUGGUCAGGGGCAAUGUCUUAAAGGAGAUGGACCUUCCUGGGGCAGCUAAGAUCUAAACUUGUAGCUGCAAUGAUGAGAGCUAUUCCAGGUGAUUAUUUCAUUCUAUAGCAUAAAGAGUUUUCUCUUAAAAUUUUCCAAGGGUCUUUUCAACUUUAUUUCUUUACUUCAUUUUUUUUUUUUUUGCACCUGGAUUGAACUCAGGGGCACUUGGCCACUGUCACAUCCCCAGCCCUAUUUUGUUUUAUUUAGAGACAGGGUCUUACUGAGUUACUCUGUGCCUCGCUAUGGCUGAGGCUGGCUUUGAACUCUUGAUCCUCCUGCCUCAGCCUCCCGAGCCACCACACCCAACCUUUACUUCAUUUUUUUUGAAGUGGAGUACAAUCUUCAUGAAAUUUAUCCAAAUGCAUCCUAUUUAUCUAGAGUAGCAGGCCGAGUUUCUAUGAUGUUAGAUCACUAAGGAUAUGAAGGCACCCUUCUUUUAUCUAUUUAAGGUACAAUAGUUUAGGACUCCCACCUGCUAUUGGGCCCACAAAAAUUUAAUCCUAUUCUUCUAAUGAUGAUAUCUGGCAUUUCCUUAUAUCAAGAGAAUCCUAGUCAGAAUAUGGAAUUUCCUUGACACUUUUCAGUACUAACCACACCUAAAUCUUUCUCAGUAUUUGGCUGUUAUUUUUUUCUCCUGUGUAAGUUGUUUUCAUGUUGCUUAAACAAAAUACCUGAGGCUGGGUACUUAUAAAUGAUUUAUUUGUCUCAUGAUCUGGUGGAUGGAGGGUCCAAACAGCAGUAUGCCAGCAUCCUGGUGAGGGCCCCCUUGGUCUGUGUCACAAUGUGGUGGAUAUUUGUAAAGAGAAAUAGCCUCAUGCAGAAGGGUCCAAGGUAUGUGUUGGCUCCUCUAUAUAAAAAUAUGCUAUGGUGAUAACUCCUGUGAGACUCAACCAUACUGCAAGACGAGCAUUGAUCCAUAUCAGAAUGGAACCCUUAUAACCAAUUACUUUCCAUAAGGACCCACCUCUUAAAAGUCCUACCACCUCAGCGUUGCCACACUGGGGACCUAGCUUCCCGUCCAUCAAACUUUGGGGGACAAACCAUACCAAGCUGUAAACUUCCCUUGUUUUGACACCAUAUUCUUGCUUCUCCUCCAUCUGAUCAUUCCUUUUCUGGAUGCUUUGCCUCUGUUCUUUGAAAGUGUUCUCCAGGGCACGAAGUUUGGCCCUCAAGCCUUCUGACCCCAUCACAUUCACACUGCAAAGCUUCCUGGGAUUCUUAGGACAGCCAAAUACCUUAUUUGAGGUAAGCAUGCCCCUAAUGGACACUCAGUAGCUUUGCGACAGUACUCGGCCUUGGAUGAAUAAUAUCAACUCACAGGUACAAAUAACGGAGACAACUUUCUUAGGAAAACUUCCAGCUACUUUAUUUGCCCUGAGGUAGGAAGUAACAGGAAGAACCUUGUCAGGAGUCUUAACUUUCCAAUUUUUUGUUUUGUUCUGAUUUAGGAGCACUUGCCUUGAAAAGCAACUC
rnacentral:lncRNA from 1 species